UUUUCGAUGGCUGCAGUGGAUGUGUCCGCGUGUGAUCAUGUUAAGAUUUGCAUAGGUAGGUAGUAGGUACGAGUAGGUUAGGGGAGGGGCCCAGGGAUUCCGUCCGACCAGCUAGCGCAGCCAUGUGGGGGAGAUGCUGCCGCCGCCUCCCUCGCCAGAUCCCGUGGCCGUUCCUAAUCCUCCCCACCAGAUCCCGUCGAGCACCCUCCCUCCCCAGACCUCGUAGCCACUAACCCCGCCCCGCUUCCCCAGAUUCCGUCGAGGCGGCGGACUCGGCCUCCGGGGAGAUGGUGAGCGCCAUGGCGUCGGUGUAGCCGGCGAGGAGGUCGGUGUGAGCUUCUCGGCAAGGGCCAGAGCCAGGAGGCCCCGCGUCGUUACCGGGGAGGAGGAGGACGGGGGCGGGGUCAUCCUGCUUCCCGAGCCUCCGAUUCUGCUGAAAAAUCAUCCCAAGAGCUACUGCGGGGCUGUUCUUAGCGGCUUUGGCAAGCAACGGGUGAGGCCUUCCGCAGGUCGCAAGGGUGGGCGCCGACAAAUGUUGAGGUUAACUGCCUGAGGGGAUAUGAGCUCGCUGUGAUUGCUGGAGGAGUAAGAGCUUGUUGACAAAACUGGGAGGAGCAACAGUGUGUUUGUUGCUGCCUGUGAAAGUGUGGGUUGCUCAACUGAGUUUUGAUGUAAUCCUCUUGAUUUCCUUUUGUGUUAACUGCAAGACUAUUUAUGUAAAAGACAUAUGGUUUUAUUUAAUGAAACCGGAGGGAGAGCCCUCUGUUUGUCCAAAAAAAAAAA